ensembl:ncRNA mir-4985 mir-4985 stem loop
UUGGGGGCGCUGCACUGGCAUUGAAAAGUGAAUUACAUUGAUCGUGACAUGGGAAUGGAAAAUGUCGCCGAGCCAUGUAAAUCGUUUGGCCUACCCGUCUA